rnacentral:rRNA from 1 species
CCUACGGGAGGCAGCAGUGAGGAAUAUUGGUCAAUGGGCGCGAGCCUGAACCAGCCAAGUCGCGUGAGGGAAGACGGUCCUAUGGAUUGUAAACCUCUUUUGUCGGGGGGCAAAAGACGCCACGCGUGGCUUUCCGAGAGUACCCGAAGAAAAAGCAUCGGCUAACUCCGUGCCAGCAGCCGCGGUAAUACGGAGGAUGCGAGCGUUAUCCGGAUUUAUUGGGUUAAAAGGGUGGGAAGGCGGGAGUUUAAGCGAGCGGGAAAAUUUAGGGGCGCAACCUAUGCGGGCGGUUGAAACUGGUUUUCUUGAGUGAGCGAGAGGUAUGCGGAAUGCGUGGUGUAGCGGUGAAAUGCAUAGAUAUCACGCAGAACUCCGAUUGCGAAGGCAGCAUACCGGAGCUCAACUGACGCUCAUGCACGAAAGUGUGGGUAUCGAACAGGAUUAGAUACCCCUGUAGUC